UUACGACAAUAUCACGUUGAUACACCGGUUCUCGGGCGAUGACCGAAGUUAAGCAACGUCGAACCUGGUCUGUAUGUAGAUGGGUGACCGCUUGGGAAUACCAGAUGCUGUAA